rnacentral:rRNA from 1 species
AUUGAACGCCGGCGGCAGGCUUAACACAUGCAAGUCGAGCGGAGCGAGGGUGCUUGCACCUUAGCUUAGCGGCGGACGGGUGAGUAAUGCUUAGGAAUCUGCCUAUUAGUGGGGGACGACAUUCCGAAAGGAAUGCUAAUACCGCAUACGCCCUACGGGGGAAAGCAGGGGAUCUCCGGACCUUGCGCUAAUAGAUGAGCCUAAGUCGGAGUAGCUAGUUGGUGGGGUAAAGGCCUACCAAGGCGACGAUCUGUAGCGGGUCUGAGAGGAUGAUCCGCCACACUGGGACUGAGACACGGCCCAGACUCCUACGGGAGGUAGCAGUGGGGAAUAUUGGACAAUGGGCGGAAGCCUGAUCCAGCCAUGCCGCGUGUGUGAAGAAGGCCUUUUGGUUGUAAAGCACUUUAAGCGAGGAGGAGGCUACUUAGAUUAAUACUCUGGGAUAGUGGACGUUACUCGCAGAAUAAGCACCGGCUAACUCUGUGCCAGCCGCCGCUGUAA